GGAUUGGGAGGGUUCUACGGAACCCGUUUGGUGAAUCUAGUGCCGAGAAAAGCCUUCUAUGUGUUGAAUUUCUAGUACCCGUACCCCAAACCGACACAGGUGGGUGGGUAGAGCAUACCUAGGGGCGCGUGAUAACUCUCUCUAAGGAACUCGGCAAAAUGGCCCUGUAACUUCGGGAUAGGGGUGCCUGCGUGAGCAGGCCGCAGUGAAAUGGCUCUGGCGACUGUUUACCAAAAACACAGGUCUCUGCUAAGUCGUAAGACGAUGUAUAGGGGCUGACUCCUGCCCAGUGCCGGAAGGUUAAGGAAGUUGGUUAGCGCAAGCGGAGCUGGCGACCGAAGCCCCGGUGAACGGCGGCCGUAACAAUAACGGUCCUAAGGUAGCGAAAUUCCUUGUCGGGUAAGUUCCGACCCGCACGAAAGGAGUAACGAUCAGAGCGCUGUCUCGGAGAGAGACACGGCGAAAUAGGAUUGUCCGUGAAGAUACGGACUACCUGCACCCGGACAGAAAGACCCUAUGAAGCUUUACUGUAACUUGGAAUUGUGUUCGGACUUUGUCUGCGCAGAAUAGGUGGGAGGCUAUGAAACGUUCCUCGCGGGGAACUGGAGCCAUCGUUGAGAUACCACUCUGGCAGAGUCUGGAUUCUAACCUACGGGGACAGUUCCAGGUGGGCAGUUUGACUGGGGCGGUCGCCUCCUAAAAUGUAACGGAGGCUCAAAGGUUCCCUCAGGCUGGUUGGAAAUCAGCCAUAGAGUGUAAAAGCAUAAGGGAGCUUGACUGUAAGACCUACAAGUCGAGCAGGGACGAAAGUCGGCUUUAGUGAUCCGACGGCACUGAGUGGAAGGGCCGUCGCUCAACGGAUAAAAGUUACUCUAAGGAUAACAGGCUGAUCUCCCCCAAGAGUUCACAUCGACGGGGAGGUUUGGCACCUCGAUGUCGGCUCGUCGCAACCUGGGGCGGUAGUACGUCCCAAGGGUUGGGCUGUUCGCCCAUUAAAGCGGCACGUGAGCUGGGUUCAGAACGUCGUGAGACAGUUCGGUCCAUAUCCGGUGUAGGCGUAGGAGCAUUGAAAGGAUCUCUCCUUAGUACGAGAGGACCGGGAGGGACGUACCUCUGGUGUACCUGUUAUCGUGCCAACGGUAAACGCAGGGUAGCCAUGUACGGAGUGGAUAACCGCUGAAAGCAUCUAAGUGGGAAGCCCACCUUAAGAUGAGUGCUCCCUUG
rnacentral:rRNA from 1 species